CAGUAGCCGCGGUAAUACAGAGGGUGCGAGCGUUAAUCGGAUUUACUGGGCGUAAAGCGUGCGUAGGUGGCUUUUUAAGUCGGAUGUGAAAUCCCCGAGCUUAACUUGGGAAUUGCAUUCGAUACUGGGAAGCUAGAGUAUGGGAGAGGAUGGUAGAAUUCCAGGUGUAGCGGUGAAAUGCGUAGAGAUCUGGAGGAAUACCGAUGGCGAAGGCAGCCAUCUGGCCUAAUACUGACGCUGAGGCACGUAAGCAUGGGGAGCAAACAGGAUUAGAUACCCCCGUAGUCCCUGUCUCUUAUAC
rnacentral:rRNA from 1 species